rnacentral:rRNA from 1 species
CACGUAGGGGGCGAGCGUUGUCCGGAUUUAUUGGGCGUAAAGAGCUCGUAGGCGGCUUGGUAAGUCGGGUGUGAAACCUCCAGGCUCAACCUGGAGACGCCACCCGAUACUGCUAUGGCUAGAGUCCGGUAGGGGAGCGUGGAAUUCCUGGUGUAGCGGUGAAAUGCGCAGAUAUCAGGAGGAACACCAAUUGCGAAGGCAGCUCGCUGGGACGUUACUGACGCUGAGACGCGAAAGCGUGGGGAGCAAACAGG